rnacentral:rRNA from 1 species
UACGGAAGGGGCUAGCGUUGUUCGGAAUCACUGGGCGUAAAGGGCGCGUAGGCGGCUUUAUAAGUCGGGGGUGAAAGCCUGUGGCUCAACCACAGAAUUGCCUUCGAUACUGUAUGGCUUGAGACCGGAAGAGGUAAGUGGAACUGCGAGUGUAGAGGUGAAAUUCGUAGAUAUUCGCAAGAACACCAGUGGCGAAGGCGGCUUACUGGUCCGGUUCUGACGCUGAGGCGCGAAAGCGUGGGGAGCAAACAGG